GACGAACGCUGGCGGCGUGCUUAACACAUGCAAGUCGAACGAUGAAGCCGGAGCUUGCUCUGGCGAAUUAGUGGCGAACGGGUGAGUAACACGUGAGUAACCUGCCCUUGACUCUGGGAUAACUGCUAGAAAUGGUAGCUAAUACCGGAUACGACCCUCGGAGGCAUCUCCAGGGGGUGGGAAGAAUUUCGGUCAAGGAUGGAGUCGCGGCCCAUCAGCUAGUUGGUGAGGUAACGGCUCACCAAGGCGACGACGGGUAGCCGGCCUGAGAGGGUGACCGGCCAAACUGGGACUGAGACACGGCCCAGACUCCUACGGGAGGCAGCAGUGGGGAAUAUUGCACAAUGGGCGCAAGCCUGAUGCAGCAACGCCGCGUGAGGGAUGACGGCAUUCGGGUUGUAAACCUCUUUUAGUAGGGAAGAAGCGAAAGUGACGGUACCUGCAGAAAAAGCACCGGCUAACUACGUGCCAGCCGCCGCAGUAA
rnacentral:rRNA from 1 species